rnacentral:rRNA from 1 species
GCGUGGUUGUCGUCAGCUCGUGCCGUGAGGUGUCGGGUUAAGUCCCAUAACGAGCGCAACCCUACCUUUAGUUGCCAUCAGGUAAUGCUGGGGACUCUAAAGGAACUGCCUACGCAAGUAGUGAGGAAGGCGGGGAUGACGUCAAAUCAGCACGGCCCUUACGUCCAGGGCUACACACGUGCUACAAUGGCCGAUACAGAGGGCAGCUACCUGGUGACAGGAUGCUAAUCUCAAAAGCCGGUCUCAGUUCGGAUCGGAGUCUGCAACCCGACUCCGUGAAGCUGGAAUCGCUAGUAAUCGUGGAUCAGCAUGCCACGGUGAAUACGUUCCCGGGCCUU